rnacentral:rRNA from 1 species
UACGAAGGGGGCUAGCGUUGCUCGGAAUCACUGGGCGUAAAGGGUGCGUAGGCGGUCGAGUAAGUCUGACGUGAAAUCUCCGGGCCUAACCCGGAAACUGCGUUGGAAACUACUUGGCUAGAGGAAUGGAGGGGAGACUGGAAUACUUGGUGUAGCAGUGAAAUGCGUAGAUAUCAAGUGGAACACCAGUGGCGUAGGCGAGUCUCUGGACAUUUCCUGACGCUGAGGCACGAAAGCCAGGGGAGCAAACGGG